rnacentral:rRNA from 1 species
UUCCGGUUGAUCCUGCCGGACCCCACUGCUAUCGGGGUGGGACUAAGACAUGCUAGUCGUGCGCCUCCAAGCCACGGUGGAGGCGCGGCGCACAGCUCAGUAACACGUGGCUAACCUACCCUUGGGACGGGGACAACCCCGGGAAACUGGGGCUAAUCCCCGAUAGGUGAGGACUCCUGGAAUGGGUCCUCGCCGAAAGGGCGUCUAGACCAUGCUUCUAGGCGCUGCCCAAGGAUGGGGCCGCGGCCGAUCAGGUAGUUGGUGAGGUAACGGCUCACCAAGCCUAAGACCGGUACGGGCCGUGAGAGCGGGAGCCCGGAGAUGGACACUGAGACAAGGGUCCAGGCCCUACGGGGCGCAGCAGUCGCGAGACCUCCGCAAUACGCGAAAGCGUGACGGGGCCACCCCGAGUGCCGUCCGCUGAGGACGGCUUUUCCCCAGUGUAGACAGCUGGGGGAAUAAGGGGAGGGCAAGUCGGGUGUCAGCCGCCGCGGUAAUACCCGCUCCCCGAGUGGUGGGGACGCUUAUUGGGCCUAAAGCAUCCGUAGCCGGCUGGAUAAGUCCCCUGUUAAAUCCAGCGAUUCAAUCGCUGGACUGCGGGGGAUACUGUCCAGCUAGGGGGCGGGAGAGGCCGGCGGUAUUCCCGGGGUAGGGGUGAAAUCUUAUAAUCCCGGGAGGACCACCAGUGGCGAAGGCUGCCGGCUGGAACGCGCCCGACGGUGAGGGAUGAAAGCUGGGGGAGCGAACCGGAUUAGAUACCCGGGUAGUCCCAGCUGUAAACGAUGCGGGCUAGGUGUUGGCACGGCUACAAGCCGUGUCAGUGCCGCAGGGAAGCCGUUAAGCCCGCCGCCUGGGGAGUACGGCCGCAAGGCUGAAACUUAAAGGAAUUGGCGGGGGAGCACCACAAGGGGUGAAGCUUGCGGUUUAAUUGGAGUCAACGCCGGAA